rnacentral:rRNA from 1 species
GACGGGGGGGGCAAGUGUUCUUCGGAAUGACUGGGCGUAAAGGGCACGUAGGCGGUGAAUCGGGUUGAAAGUGAAAGUCGCCAAAAAGUGGCGGAAUGCUCUCGAAACCAAUUCACUUGAGUGAGACCGAGGAGAGUGGAAUUUCGUGUGUAGGGGUGAAAUGCGUAGAUAUGCGGAGGAACACCGAUGGCGAAGGCAAUCCCCUGGGCCUGCACUGACGCUCAUGCACGAAAGCGUGGGGAGCAAACAGG